GAUGAACGCUAGCUACAGGCUUAACACAUGCAAGUCGAGGGGAAACGGCAUUGAGUGCUUGCACUCUUUGGACGUCGACCGGCGCACGGGUGAGUAACGCGUAUCCAACCUUCCCAUUACUGUGGGAUAACCUGCCGAAAGGCAGACUAAUACCGCAUAGUCUUCGAUGACGGCAUCAGAUUUGAAGUAAAGAUUUAUCGGUAAUGGAUGGGGAUGCGUCUGAUUAGCUUGUUGGCGGGGUAACGGCCCACCAAGGCGACGAUCAGUAGGGGUUCUGAGAGGAAGGUCCCCCACAUUGGAACUGAGACACGGUCCAAACUCCUACGGGAGGCAGCAGUGAGGAAUAUUGGUCAAUGGACGUAAGUCUGAACCAGCCAAGUAGCGUGCAGGAUGACGGCCCUAUGGGUUGUAAACUGCUUUUGUAUGGGGAUAAAGUUAGGGACGUGUCCCUAUUUGCAGGUACCAUACGAAUAAGGACCGGCUAAUUCCGUGCCAGCAGCCGCGGUAAUACGUAGGGGGCAAGCGUUAUCCGGAUUUACUGGGUGUAAAGGGAGCGCAGGCGGUUUGGCAAGUUGAGAGUGGAAGCAGGGGGCUCAACCCCUUGACUGCUCCCAAAACUGUUAAACUUGAGUAUGGGAGAGGCAGGCGGAAUUCCUAGUGUAGCGGUGAAAUGCUUAGAUAUUAGGAAGAACACCGGUGGCGAAGGCGGCCUGCUGGACCAAAACUGACGCUGAGGCUCGAAAGCGUGGGUAGCAAACAGG
rnacentral:rRNA from 1 species